CCCUUAGAUGUUCUGGGCCGCACGCGCGCUACACUGAUGCAUUCAACGAGUCUAAAACCUGGUCUGAGAGGGCUGGGUAAUCUUUUGAAAGUGCAUCGUGAUUGGGAUAGAUGAUUGCAAUUCUUCAUCUUCAACGAGGAAUGCCUAGUAAACGCAAGUCAUCAGCUUGCAUUGAUUGCGUCCCUGCCCUUUGUACACACCGCCCGUCGCUCCUACCGAUUGAACGAUCCGAUGAAAACUGUGGAUUGAGAGUCUGAGUGGGUUCGCCUACCUCAACUUUCGAGAAGCGGUUUAAAUCUUAUCGUUUAGAGGAAGGAGAAGUCGUAACA
rnacentral:rRNA from 1 species